rnacentral:tmRNA from 1 species
GGGGGCGUAAAGGUUUCGACGGGGAUUUUGAAGUAUGCUAAGCGAGCAGAGGUUGUGGAAGCUCUUUAAAACGCCACACAUUAAAAAUAAACGCUAACAAUAACAGAUUAGCUUACGCUGCCUAAGUGCAGCGUCAUCGACCCUGAGAGUACUGCGGCUCAGGACUCGGUGUCACACAAGCAGUGAACGUGAACUCGGCAAAGCUUUGAGCCUUGUCAUGAACUUAUGAAGCUACCUUUUUUCUGCGUUUGUGCGUUGAUGCGGCAGAGAGGGAAUUUUAACAACGUACUACGCUCGUAGAAAGGUAUAUGAAUGGAUUUUCGGACGUGGGUUCGACUCCCACCGCCUCCACCA